rnacentral:rRNA from 1 species
GAGUUUGAUCGUGGCUCAGAUUGAACGCUGGCGGCAUGCCUUACACAUGCAAGUCGAACGGCAGCACGGGAGCUUGCUCCUGGUGGCGAGUGGCGAACGGGUGAGUAAUGCAUCGGAACGUAUCCUGGAGUGGGGGGAUAACGUAGCGAAAGUUACGCUAAUACCGCAUAUUCUGUGAGCAGGAAAGCGGGGGACCUUCGGGCCUCGCGCUCUUGGAGCGGCCGAUGUCGGAUUAGCUAGUUGGUGAGGUAAAGGCUCACCAAGGCGACGAUCCGUAGCAGGUCUGAGAGGAUGAUCUGCCACACUGGAACUGAGACACGGUCCAGACUCCUACGGGAGGCAGCAGUGGGGAAUUUUGGACAAUGGGGGCAACCCUGAUCCAGCCAUGCCGCGUGAGUGAAGAAGGCCUCGG